GGUCUUGGUGAACGGUAAGGUCUACACCAGACCGGUAGCUCGUCUAAUCCAGCUCCCUGAGUUCAAGGAUGAUGCUAAUGCUGCAUGAAGAAUUCCCGUUAUUACACAUUUGCUGUUCAAAUGUGGGGGCGGCUGUUGUGAAUUCUUCACGGGAGAAUGUCGAUGCUUUUAUUUUGAAGUUUUAUUUUGACAACGCAUGUUGUUUCCGCUUCCGGUACCGCGAAUACACGCUACGCGACACGGACAGUAGAUCCGUUAGAUCGAGUCAUUGAUGAUAAACUCCAUCCAUCUUUACGGUCAUCUUACUGUCCACUAUGUAACUCCUUCUGUCAACUAAUCUGUAAGCCUACAACGGGUAAAUACAGAAGGGUAUAAAACAA